UAACCUGCCCAAGAGAUCGGGAUAACACCUGGAAACAGAUGCUAAUACCGGAUAACAACAGAUGAUGCCUAUCAACUGUUUAAAAGAUGGUUCUGCUAUCACUCUUGGAUGGACCUGCGGUGCAUUAGCUAGUUGGUAGGGUAACGGCCUACCAAGGCGAUGAUGCAUAGCCGAGUUGAGAGACUGAUCGGCCACAUUUGGGACUGAGGCACGGCCCAAACUCCUACGGGAGGCAGCAGGG
rnacentral:rRNA from 1 species